CAGAUCGUUAGAUGUAGGAAUUCUCCUGUUUAUGAAUUACCAUUUUGGAAUGUAAUAUCAUGUCUUUACUUUCAAUGUAAAUCCUUUUGUGAUGCAAAAAUCAAGUAGAAUGUGUAAUAGGUAGUGGAUGUAAUAUAUAUAUAUAUAUAUAUAUGUAUAGUUAUUAGUAUGAGCAAAUCAUUUUCAAAAUGAUAAGAUAAGAUUUAUUAUAAACAUAAUAUGAC
rnacentral:lncRNA from 1 species